ACACUCUUGCACUAUGGAGAGCAUUGAUGACCCCUUGACAGACAGCCAAAAACCAUCUGCCAACACCACCCUACCACCACCACCACCAUCAACAUCACAACGACCCCACCCAAACCCUGGUCCCGCAAAGGCAGGAAGCAACACAAGCAGCUACAGAGCACCAAGAGGUCUCAUAACACAGCCAGAGAUGGGAAAACUAGGGAGUGACUGUUCGAGGGAGCGAGCUCGCCCCUGGACACUGGACACACUACUCGCUGUAAAACACUUUCCAUUUCCUGUGACUGCUCCCUCCUGCUAUCUGUCGUUGGGUCAAGGUGUUGCGUCCCCCUCCUCUCCGCUCUAUCCACCUGCUCGUGCCACGGAGGAUCGGACACCCUAAGAAUCCCAUGAAUGGUUUUUGCCUCAUUGGAAGUACUGUGUUUGAAACUGCUAACUGCUUUGAAUGAGGGAUUCCUCACAUCCCUCUCUCCUCGCCUCUAGAGCAGGAGCUCCAGAGCAAAGACGGGAUCAUUACAUACCGGACCCUGUUGCUUCUCAGACCACCUCGCGAGGCCGCUACAAACCGAACUGAGCGCUCUCUGCUGUGAAUAGGCCUUCUGCUGGAGUAAACCUCCCAUAUUUUUAUAGACCAAAGAGCAAAAACAACAAAUGCGAUCACUACGACAGGGUGGACCAAGUGGACAAGACACACAGAGACUUUGUGAACUUGAUGUUUGUGUCGCCCGGCGUCCGGCGGCACAAUCCAAGGAGUGCUUUUAAAACUUUCCGGACAUUUUUUUCUCAGACUAAGCCCACCACUGUAUUUUGGAACUGGAGAUAUAGGUACUACAUACGUAUAACUGUGUAUCAAAAAAAAAAAAAUCUGAUUUGCAUUUUUCAGUAGCUACAGUUGGGACGGCCUGCAGGAAGCAGCGUGGAGUUGGUUACGGAAAUCCUAUAAAAGAGACGAUGAUAUCUACAGAGAGUAUAAAUGCUAUUGAGUCUGAAAAGAAAGAGUAAAGAAAUGUCAUUAAAUGUAUUUUGAAAGGCCCUAAAAAGUUAUAUAUUUAACAGUUUUAUAUGUUGUACCUUUGUAGAGAAGCUUAUUGGACUUAAAAUGUGGUCACAAUGGCAGUUUAGUAGGAUGUGAACAAAUGCUGUUGUUCUCAUGACUGCUGGCUCGUAGUCCCAGGUUUUCUGUUCACACCUCAGUAGCCGCUUUCUUUUCAUGGUCAUCUACAAGUCACUGUCUAUCAGAAGCAUUAAUGAAAAAAAGGAAAGUGACACAAUUUAUUGAGGACUGAUCUGCAGCCAACUGAACAUUGUAAAUCUAUGGUAGUCAGUGGAAGCCAUUGAAAUCUGCUAAUUUGCUAUUGUAUUGUACACGGUGUGGAAUACUGACUCAUUUCCUCUCUAUGGGUUUUGAUCUCUUAAUUUAUUUUUGUGUUUGUUCUCGCACAAAUCUGGCCUCUCUCUGACGGCGACGAAUACAACAAAGAGAGAAAAGGGAAGCAUUGCAGAAGCAUUAGAGUCAUUUACAUACAUUUUUUUUAUCAUGGAAUAUUUUAAGAAUAAAUUAAAUACAUGAAAAGAAACAUCCUCUGCACAUUUAGAUGGUCUUGGUGUUCAAGGUCAUCAAAGGGAAAUGUAAAUGGUCUUAUUCUGGUUUUCUG
ensembl:lncRNA